AACCAGCACCUCAAGUGGUCAGGAUGAUUAUUGGGCCUAAAGCAUCCGUAGCCUGUUUUGUAAGUCUCCGGUUAAAUCCAUCAACUCAAGUGAUGGGCUGUCGGAGAUACUGCAAAACUAGGGAAUGGGAGAGGUAGACGGUACUCGGUAGGAAGGGGUAAAAUCCUUUGAUCUAUUGAUGACCACCUGUGGCGAAGGCGGUCUACCAGAGCAUGUUCGACGGUGAGGAGCGAAAGCUAGGGGAGCAAACAGG
rnacentral:rRNA from 1 species